rnacentral:rRNA from 1 species
GACGAACGCUGGCGGCGUGCCUAAUACAUGCGAGUAGAACGCUGAAGGAGGAGCUUGCUUCUCUGGAUGAGUUGCGAACGGGUGAGUAACGCGUAGGUAACCUGCCUGGUAGCGGGGGAUAACUAUUGGAAACGAUAGCUAAUACCGCAUAAUAGCAGUUAUUGCAUGAUAACUGUUUGAAAGGUGCAAUUGCACCACUACCAGAUGGACCUGCGUUGUAUUAGCUAGUUGGUGGGGUAACGGCUCACCAAGGCGACGAUACAUAGCCGACCUGAGAGGGUGAUCGGCCACACUGGGACUGGGACACGGCCCAGACUCCUACGGGAGGCAGCAGUAGGGAAUCUUCGGCAAGGGACGGAAGUCUGACCGAGCAACGCCGCGUGAGUGAAGAAGGGUUUCGGAUCGUAAAGCUCUGUUGUAAGAGAAGAACGAGUGUGAGAGUGGAAAGUUCACACUGUGACGGUAUCUUACCAGAAAGGGACGGCUAACUACGUG